rnacentral:rRNA from 1 species
UGGGGAAUAUUGCACAAUGGGCGCAAGCCUGAUGCAGCCAUGCCGCGUGUGUGAAGAAGGCCUUCGGGUUGUAAAGCACUUUCAGCGAGGAGGAAGGUGGUGAACUUAAUACGUUCAUCAAUUGACGUUACUCGCAGAAGAAGCACCGGCUAACUCCGUGCCAGCAGCCGCGGUAAUACGGAGGGUGCAAGCGUUAAUCGGAAUUACUGGGCGUAAAGCGCACGCAGGCGGUUUGUUAAGUCAGAUGUGAAAUCCCCGGGCUCAACCUGGGAACUGCAUUUGAAACUGGCAAGCUAGAGUCUCGUAGAGGGGGGUAGAAUUCCAGGUGUAGCGGUGAAAUGCGUAGAGAUCUGGAGGAAUACCGGUGGCGAAGGCGGCCCCCUGGACGAAGACUGACGCUCAGGUGCGAAAGCGUGGGGAGCAAACGGGGAUUUAGAUACCCUGGUAGUCCACGCUGUAAACGAUGUCGAUUUUGGAGGUUGUGCCCUUGAGGCGUGGCUUCCGGAGCUAACGCGUUAAAUCGACCGCCUGGGGAGUACGGCCGCAAGGUUAAAACUCAAAGGAAUUGACGGGGUCAUAGCUGUUUCCU